rnacentral:rRNA from 1 species
CGGCGAUUUCCGAAUGGGGAAACCCAGUGUGAUUCGUCACACUAUCAUUAACUGAAUCCAUAGGUUAAUGAGGCGAACCGGGGGAACUGAAACAUCUAAGUACCCCGAGGAAAAGAAAUCAACCGAGAUUCCCCCAGUAGCGGCGAGCGAACGGGGAGGAGCCCAGAGCCUGAAUCAGCAUGUGUGUUAGUGGAAGCGUCUGGAAAGGCGCGCGAUACAGGGUGACAGCCCCGUACACAAAAGCGCAUGUGCUGUGAGCUCGAUGAGUAGGGCGGGACACGUGGUAUCCUGUCUGAAUAUGGGGGGACCAUCCUCCAAGGCUAAAUACUCCUGACUGACCGAUAGUGAACCAGUACCGUGAGGGAAAGGCGAAAAGAACCCCGGCGAGGGGAGUGAAAAAGAACCUGAAACCGUGUACGUACAAGCAGUGGGAGCACAGGUUUACCUGUGUGACUGCGUACCUUUUGUAUAAUGGGUCAGCGACUUAUAUUCUGUAGCAAGGUUAACCGAAUAGGGGAGCCGUAGGGAAACCGAGUCUUAACCGGGCGUUAAGUUGCAGGGUAUAGACCCGAAACCCGGUGAUCUAGCCAU